CAGUCGCCGCGGGAAUACGGAGGGUGCAAGCGUUAAUCGGAAUUACUGGGCGUAAAGCGUGCGUAGGCGGUUCGUUAAGUCUGUUGUGAAAGCCCCGGGCUCAACCUGGGAACUGCAUCCAAAACUGGCAGGCUAGAGUAGGGCAGAGGGUGGUGGAAUUUCCUGUGUAGCGGUGAAAUGCGUAGAUAUAGGAAGGAACACCAGUGGCGAAGGCGACCACCUGGGCUCAUACUGACACUGAGGUGCGAAAGCGUGGGGAGCAAACAGGAUUAGAUACCCCCGUAGUCCCUGUCUCUUAUAC
rnacentral:rRNA from 1 species